AUUGAACGCUGGCGGCAGGCUUAACACAUUCAAGUCGAGCGCGCGGCGGACGGGUGAGUAAUGUCUGGGAAACUGCCUGAUGGAGGGGGAUAACUACUGGAAACGGUAGCUAAUACCGCAUACCAUCAGAUGUGCCCAGAUGGGAUUGGCUAGUAGGUGGGGGAAUGGCUCACCUAGGCGACGAUCCCUAGCUGGUCUUAGAGGAUGACCAGCCACACUGGAACUGAGACACGGUCCAGACUCCUACGGUAGGAAGCAGUGGGGAAUAUUGCACAAUGGGCGCAAGCCUGAUGCAGCCAUGCCGGGUGUAUGAAGAAGGCCUUAGGGUUGUAAAGCACUUUCAGCGAGGAGGCGUUACUCGAAGAAGAAGCACCGGCUAACUCCGUGCCAGCAGCCGCGGUAAUAC
rnacentral:rRNA from 1 species